GUAGAAAGCUCUCCUAGACCAGGCUGUUUGCUACCAAGCUAGUUUGUUUCCACCAGACUUAUGCACGCCGGUUGGAUUCUACCUUCCUACCCGUGAAGACCGCCUCUUCCUAGCUCUCCCGAAGCUUCCGUGACCUCGUAGAACGUGGAAUAAGUUCCUACAUGACAGCCUGGAUUCCUGAUCCGUUAGAACCUGUCUCAGUCUUAGGGCUGCGAAAGGAAAAGCGUCUAGAAGCAGCACUUAGCAUGAUCCCUGUUCAUAGAGGAUGAAAGAGCUGAGAGAUGGCUUCAGGGAGAAAUGCUGGCUGAAACAAGAGUGAGAAACACUAAGAGAAUUAGCAGUUUCCGAUAAAAUCUGUAGUUGAUUCUAUCAGUGUUACCUGAUUGUGAUCAUUCUGUGAUUACAUAAUAUGAUGGAUGACAGGGGGGCAUGGGUAAGGAGUUUACAGCUUUGUGUGUUGUUUUUGUGACUUUUCUGUGAUUCUAAAACUGGUUCAAAUUAAAAGUAUCCAUAAAGAAGAAAGAAAUAAAAAUUUCACCCUAAAGAAUUAGCUAUCCCAAGGCAAGGCAGAAUGGUCAAGACCCGGAGAACACCUGGAGCUGGGAGCAUGCAAAGCAAAGAUCAGAUGAGAAUGAAAACGGAAUAUAUAAUACUGCGGGACUAGUUGACCGUGUUAGUUUAUAUUAUAGUCUUGGAAUUUUAUACAUAGUCAGGUGGACAGGGCACCUUUGCAAAUGGUCAUUCAAAAGCAAAGCCCAAAAUAGGAUCAAAAGGAUGUAGAAAAGGGAGUUUGUGGACACUGGGAAGGGUUUGAGACUUGGGUAAAGGGAAGGGAAAGGAUUAAAUAUUGACAUCCUGUAUAAAUUAAAAACCAUCAAAGGGAACCAGAGAGAUACCAUCCUGGUUAAAGCACUGGCUGAGCAAACGUGACAGCCAGAGUUCAAAUUCCCCAGAAUCUACAUAAAUACCGGGUGGGUGUUGUGAUCCACCGGGAUCUGUCCUUGAAAGGUGACUCUGUUUUAUUGAGAGAACCUGUCUCAUUAAAUCAGAUGGAAGAACAAACAAGUGUGAUUCCUUCCAUCAGUCUCAGGCCUCCACAAGCACACACACACACACACACACACCACUCAAGGGCAUACUCACAAAUUUCCAGAGCUGAGGCAUUGUUAUGAGAGGUGGGAGUGACAGUGACUAGAAAGAAGAAGAGUGACUCCUCAAGCUUAUAAUAGUUCUGCUUCUUGAGCCAAGUACUGAGCUGGGUAAGUUCAAUUUGUGAAAAUAUAUCAAACUAUAGAUUUCUCUAUUACUGUUGUUCCAGUGAUAGUGGUAGUUACUAUGUUGGCUGUAUUAGUCAGCUGUCCAUCACUGUUCCAAAAUGAGAUU
rnacentral:lncRNA from 1 species